AACUGAGGCCGGGAUGGGAAGGACUCAGCCAAGGCCGCACAGCAAGUCUGGGCAGAGCAUGGACCAGGCUCUUCCUACUUUCUCCACGGCACCGGCUGGAGGAAUCACAUGCAGAUCCUGCCCCUUCCAAGCUCAUAGUCGUGCUGGGGAGACAGGCCAAGGGGAAGCGUCUGACAGGUCUCACCAGCCAGACCUGAGAGAGACCCAGCUCUGCAGGCCUCGGCGCCCGCACAGCAGCUCAACAGCCUGAUGCUGACUAUGUCUUCACAGCCCUUUACAGUUUGCAAAGCACUUGUCUACUCACCAUUAGAGCCUCGCAAGAAUCCUGUGAGGAAUAUUUAUUGAGCAUCUUCUACAUGCCAAGUCCUGUGCUGGGGCUGGAAUUCCUGUGCUGACCCCGAAGACCAGAGAAAUGUUUUCUGCUUCAUUCUCACUGGCUGGACCUGGGCCUCCUCCCACCUCCCUGGCUGCAGCUGCAAAGAGAAGAAAGCUUUCAUUGGGCCCUGAAAGCUGUCCUUGAGCUGUGAUUCCAGGCCAGAAUCCACGCAGACAGCAGCCCUUGGCCAGCUCUGUUCAAGAUGGUGGGAGGGGUUCAAAGGAGAACAAAGACAAGGAUGAUGCUAGACGCCCAGUUGGAGAUGGCAGAUAACCCAUCAAACUGAGCUGGAAGCCAUCCUGAAGCAUCUAGCAUUUCUGUUGAUCCUGCCAAAUGGCAGUCUCCUGGGACCCAACCAGAGAUGGGAACUCUGCUACCUCUUGAGGGACAUGGAUCUACGCCUCUGGGUGGCUUCCCGGGAUGAAGCUGCAGUCCCUGGGACAUCAGAGAGUCCAAAGCAAUCAAGAUUCUCAGAUCUUCAUCCAGGAAAAAGGACAGCCCGGGGCCAGUUUUGGCCCCAAGGUUUCAUGUCUUCAUCACUUCAAGAACUACUGUUUUAUUCUGAAGGAUUGGCACCUAAACGAUCUGAGAAUAUUACAAAAAUAAUGAUA